GAGAGAGAGAGAGAGAGAGAGAGAGAGGCAGAGACAUAGGCAGAGGAAGAAGCAGGCUCCAUGCAGAGAGCCCGAUGUGGGACUUGAUCCCAGGACUCUGGGAUCACGCCCUGAGCCAAAGGCAAAUGCUCAACCACUCAACCACUGAGCCACCCAGGUGUCCCUCUUGGUAUCUAUUCUAUACCCUCAGCCCCAGGCCCAUCAAAUUCCAUGUAUGUACAAUAUACAUUUAUAGAUUCAUAAAUCAGUGCAAAUAGUAUUUGAUCUUGGCAACCUACCAGGUACAACAGUCAUCUGGGUCCUGGAUCCAAAGAUCAGUUGCUGGCCUGAACCAAGAAACACUGUGAUAUGCCCAACAUAAAAAAACAGGCCAAAAAGGCCAGGUUGGCAGGACACAGAGUAAAGAGUCAGCGAUUACUUUAUGGGUUUGGCUUUAACAUCAUUGUCAGCCUAAGUUUGUUGUGGAGUAACAAACAAAUAUCUACAAUCAUGAAUAAAUUCUUCUUUGUCUUUAUAAUCCCCCUUUCGUCUAGGGAAUCUUUGCUUUCCACUUUCUACUACAGAGUUCUAAGCAUUCAACAUAUGCUUUAAAUAUAUACAGAGAGUAAGUGCUCUCUGAUUUUAGAUGUUAAACCAGGGUUCACAUCUUUUUGUCUAAGAUGACUCACAAAACCCAGGUCAGAGACUCUUUCUCCUCUGCUCUGGGCAUUGAUGAGUUGUGCAACAAGGACUAAAUCCUUGAUUCCUCCUCAGACUGAGUCUACAGGAUGGAAAUGAGGUUUAGAACUGCCAUUAUCUACUUAAUUUGGCUGCUGAUUUGGAUAAAAUGAUUUUAUAAUUAUUAAAUUAUUGGGGACAUUUCUAGUUUUCUGCUUUACUUUUUGGGUCAUUUCUUUUCUCCUGACUAAAGAGGUCUCUAUGUUGAUUCAGCUGCUAAGAGACUUUAAAAAAUGCAACAAAAAUGAAUUUUAAUAUUUCCUAAAGUAGUGAGGAUGGCAUGAUAGGGUCAUGCCCAGGAGGGAUCAGAAUAUGGAUUGUCAUAAUCAAGGGAACAAAUGAGAUCCACCUCUAGAAGUUCAGUUCCCUGAUGGCAAUAUCUCAUUGAGUUCAUUUCCUGAUGGGUCCAUGGUAUGAGCACCAAGCCUGAUGUAGAGUGGAUGAACAAAAGUAUUUGUCAGAUUAGUCCUGUGGACUCCUCAAACUUCAGGCCAGGAGAAUUAAUGACAAGCUCAAGCAACAAGUUCGGCAAAGUGGAGAUUUAAGUUCUGUUCCAGCUCAGGUACAGACAGGCUAUAGGAUCAUGAUCAGUCUCUUCCUCAGGCCUGAGUUCCAUUCAUAAAUGGAGAUGGUCAGAAGGGAUGAUUUUUAAGGAUUCUCUGUGCUCCAUGAGGCUUUGUUAUAUAAAUUUUUGGCCUAAAGUUUCAGAAACAAUGAGGUGUCCCACAGUACUUAUGAAUAAACUUUUUUUUUUUAAAUGUGAUUUUUCAGACAGAGAGGCUAAUGACAAUUAUUUGGGUCAAUGAUCACUAUUUAUAACAUUCCUUCCAUAAGUUGACAUAAUCUUAGCCAAAAAGAAUAGUGCCUUAAAGGCUUGUUAAGGAAUUGGAAGUCUUGUCCACUGAUGACUAUAGAAAUCUGGGGCUACAGGGCCUAGCCAGUACCCUAAAUAAUCAGUCACACCUCUUUAGUCCCAACACAUAUAUACUGGAAGUAAUUCCCAGGACUCCCUCACAUGCCCAUUUUGUACUAAGACAUCAGAUCCUAGCCAGGGAGACUUUUGUCCUCCUUCUGUGUGAUGUUCAUUCACCCUUUCUAAACAUUCAUCAUAUAAUGUAUAAUUGGGUCUAA
rnacentral:lncRNA from 1 species